UACAGAGGUCCCAAGCGUUGUUCGGAUUCACUGGGCGUAAAGGGUGCGUAGGUGGUUAGGUAAGUCCGAUGUGAAAUCUCCAGGCUCAACCUGGAAAUGGCAUUGGAUACUAUCUAGCUUGAGGAGUGGAGGGGGGGACUGGAAUUCUCGGUGUAGCAGUGAAAUGCGUAGAUAUCGGGAGGAACACCUGUGGCGAAAGCGGCGCACUGGACCACAUCUGACGCUGAGGCGCGAAAGCUAGGGGAGCAAACAGG
rnacentral:rRNA from 1 species